rnacentral:rRNA from 1 species
GAUGAACGCUGGCGGCGUGCCUAAUACAUGCAAGUCGAGCGAACAGACGAGGAGCUUGCUCCUCUGACGUUAGCGGCGGACGGGUGAGUAACACGUGGAUAACCUACCUAUAAGACUGGGAUAACUUCGGGAAACCGGAGCUAAUACCGGAUAAUAUAUUGAACCGCAUGGUUCAAUAGUGAAAGACGGUUUUGCUGUCACUUAUAGAUGGAUCCGCGCCGCAUUAGCUAGUUGGUAAGGUAACGGCUUACCAAGGCAACGAUGCGUAGCCGACCUGAGAGGGUGAUCGGCCACACUGGAACUGAGACACGGGCCAGACUCCUACGGGAGGCAGCAGUAGGGAAUCUUCCGCAAUGGGCGAAAGCCUGACGGAGCAACGCCGCGUGAGUGAUGAAGGUCUGCGGAUCGUAAAACUCUGUUAUUAGGGAAGAACAAAUGUGUAAGUAACUAUGCACGUCUUGACGGUACCUAAUCAGAAAGCCACGGCUAACUACGU